rnacentral:rRNA from 1 species
GACGAACGCUGGCGGCGUGCUUAACACAUGCAAGUCGAACGGAAAGGCCCUGCUUUUGUGGGGUGCUCGAGUGGCGAACGGGUGAGUAACACGUGAGUAACCUGCCCUUGACUUUGGGAUAACUUCAGGAAACUGGGGCUAAUACCGGAUAGGAGCUCCUGCUGCAUGGUGGGGGUUGGAAAGUUUCGGCGGUUGGGGAUGGACUCGCGGCUUAUCAGCUUGUUGGUGGGGUAGUGGCUUACCAAGGCUUUGGCGGGUAGCCGGCCUGAGAGGGUGACCGGCCACAUUGGGACUGAGAUACGGCCCAGACUCCUACGGGAGGCAGCAGUGGGGAAUAUUGCACAAUGGGCGGAAGCCUGACGCAGCAACGCCGCGUGCGGGAUGACGGCCUUCGGGUUGUAAACCGCUUUCGCCUGUGACGAAGCGUGAGUGACGGUAAUGGGUAAAGAAGCACCGGCUAACUACGUG